CUUUUCUAGAUCUUCCCCAAGAAGUAUGGGCUCGUUGCUUUCCUGUGUUGGUGACCUAUUCCCUUUGACGAUCCCUAGGAGGAGAUGGGGCAUAAGGAUCCUCCAGGGGAAUAGCUCACCACCACUGGACAACAGCCCUAGCCCUGGGGAUUUCACUGAGACACUUUGCUGAGGCCAGCAAGGGAGAUAAAGAGUCAAAGAUAGCCACCCUACGUCAAUCACAAUAGGACAAAAAGCUGCCACAGUAGUGGCACCGACAUCACGAGCAAGUCGUUCUGUUUCAUCUGCUUCUCAAAGUCCCUGGAAGCUCUGGAGGAGAAGCUUACCAGCUGUUUGCAUACAUCAAGAUUCACUGUGCUACCCACAGGAUAGAAUAUCCACUCCACCUACCAGGUCAUCAUCCUUCCCCAAAGCAGUACAGGAAGCUGCAUCUUCAGCAGGAUCAUGAAGGGAAGCCAGCCUCAUGAGCCAAGGACCAACAUGCCUGCAUCUUAAAACCACAACAGAAUGAAUGAGUGUGUGCUGUGCUGUGCGUUUGUUUUUUCAUUGCUCUAUUCAUCUAUUUCUUCCGUUCUUUGUCUGUCUAAUUCUAUGUGGCCAUUUCACUCCUUGCUUUAUGUCUUCCUAGCUUUGUGUGUCUAAUUUUUUUUAAUGUAUAUAUUUCCUCCUUGUUUUGUAUGUCCUUCUUUGCUUUGUAUUGUUAAUUUUUCUUUGUGUCCAUUUAUUCCUUGCCAUGUGUUGUAUGUCUUUCUUCCUUGCUUGUAUGUCUGUCUUCCAUGCUCGGAUGUCUUCUUGGCUUGUAUCUUUCUUCGUUGCCUUGUAUAUCUUUCUUCUUUGCUUGUAGUCUAUGUCUUUCUCCCUGCCUGGUAUUCUAUGUCUUUCUCCUUUCCUUGUAUUCUAUGUCUUUCUCCUUUCCUUGUAUUCUAUGUCUUUCUCCUUUCCUUGUAUUCUAUGUCUUCUUUGCUUGUAUGUCUUUGUCCCUGCCUUGUGUUCUAUGUCUUUGUCCCUGCCUUGUAUUCUAUGUCUUUCUUCUUUGCUUGUAUGUCUUUCUCCCUGCCUUGUAUUCUAAGUCUUUCUUCCUUUCCUUGUAUUCUAUGUCUUUGUCCCUGCCUUGUAUUCUAUGUCUUUCUUCUUUCCUUGUAUGUCUUUGUCCCUGCCUUGUAUUCUAAGUCUUUCUUCCUUUCCUUGUAGUCUAUGUCUUUCUCCUUGAAUUGUGUUGUGUCUUUCUCCCUUGCCUUGUAUUCUAUGUCUUUGUCCCUGCCUUGUAUUCUAUGUCUGUCUCCUUUCCUUGUAUUCUAUGUCUUUCUCCCUGCCUUGUAUUCUAU